rnacentral:SRP_RNA from 1 species
GCCGGGCGUGGUGACUCAUGCCUGUAAUCCCAGCUCUUUGGGAGGCUGAGGCAGGUGGAUCACCUGAGGUCGGGAGUUCAAGACCAGCCUGACCAACAUGGAGAAACCCUGUCUCUA